UGUGACUUAAAGUUUAACGGCCGCGGUAUUUUGACCGUGCAAAGGUAGCGCAAUCACUUGUCUUUUAAAUGAAGACCUGUAUGAAUGGCAUCACGAGGGCUUAGCUGUCUCCUUUUUCAAGUCAAUGAAAUUGAUCUUCCCGUGCAGAAGCGGGAAUAAUACUAUAAGACGAGAAGACCCUAUGGAGCUUUAGACCUAGUACAGGCCACGAACAAUACUUUUGAUAAAAAAGAAAAGCUCAAUGGUCUCUGUACAACUGUCUUUGGUUGGGGCGACCGCGGGGAAAAAUAAAACCCCCACGAGGAUUGAGAGUUCUACUCCUAAAACCAAGAGCCACAGCUCUAAGUAACAGAAAUUCUGACCUAAAUGAUCCGGGCAACCGAUCAACGAACCGAGUUACCCUAGGGAUAACAGCGCAAUCCCCUUCCAGAGCCCAUAUCGACAAGGGGGUUUACGACCUCGAUGUUGGAUCAGGACAUCCUAAUGGUGCAGCCGCUAUUAAGGGUUCGUUUGUUCAACGAUUAAAGUCCUACGUGAUCU
rnacentral:rRNA from 1 species